GGUCGGGUUCCUCACUCACCCGCCAAUCAAUCAGUUGGAGAAACCAUUGAGAGAGCACUGAGCAAAGCUUUAGACGGGUUUUAGCUUCUGCUUCUUUGCUUCUUUCUCCCCCAAACUCCGAAAAAAAUGAAGCUCGUCAGGUUUUUGAUGAAGCUGAACAACGAAACUGUAUCGAUCGAGCUGAAGAACGGUACUGUUGUCCAUGGCACCAUCACUGGUGUUGAUGUGAGCAUGAAUACGCACCUGAAGACUGUUAAAAUGACUCUGAAGGGGAAGAACCCUGUGACUCUCGAUCAUCUAAGCUUGAGGGGUAACAAUAUCCGCUACUACAUUCUUCCCGAUAGCUUGAACCUUGAGACUUUACUUGUAGAGGACACUCCAAGGGUUAAGCCCAAGAAGGCUGCUGCUACUGGGAAGUCUGUUGGACGUGGCCGAGGACGCGGUCGUGGACGUGGUCGUGGAAGAGGUCGUUAGAUGUAUUUUCUUUUUGCAUAUAACCUUUGCUGGCUACUACUUAUCUACUGGGAAAAAAAAAGUUAAAGGUUCCCCUAUAUAACUGUGGGGAUGGCUCGGAUAAGGAAAAGAGGAAGGCACACCGUAUCCCUGAGGCCAUGGAUAACUCGGCAUGUCUUUUUUCUCCGGAGGUUUCUUAUCAUCUGGCUUCUUGUCUCCAUCUUUCUU